rnacentral:misc_RNA from 1 species
UGUCCAACAUUGUAGACCCACGAAGCUCAAAGCUGUGGACGCUGCUGAAAUUGCUAAGAAGCCCACACCCAUCGGUAAUAAGAACAGCCACUUCAACACUCAACUCCCAGGUUCUCAAGAACUACAUUAGCAUGGUUCUUUCCGGCAAUGAUCACUAAUUUGCAUUGAAGUGCAGAGAAGCAGACAUGUCAAGUGAGCUUAGACUGUC